AUUGAACGCUAGUGGCAUGCCUUACACAUGCAAGUCGAACGGCAGCGGGGGAGAAGCUUGCUUUUCCUGCCGGCGAGUGGCGAACGGGUGAGUAAUACAUCGGAACGUGCCCUGUAGUGGGGGAUAACUAGUCGAAAGAUUAGCUAAUACCGCAUACAACCUGAGGGUGAAAGUGGGGGACCGCAAGGCCUCAUGCUAUAGGAGCGGCCGAUGUCUGAUUAGCUAGUUGGUGGGGUAAAGGCCUACCAAGGCGACGAUCAGUAGCUGGUCUGAGAGGACGAUCAGCCACACUGGGACUGAGACACGGCCCAGACUCCUACGGGAGGCAGCAGUGGGGAAUCUUGGACAAUGGGCGAAAGCCUGAUCCAGCAAUGCCGCGUGUGUGAAGAAGGCCUUCGGGUUGUAAAGCACUUUUGUCCGGAAAGAAAUGGCUCUGGUUAAUACCUGGGGUCGAUGACGGUACCGGAAGAAUAAGGACCGGCUAACUACGUGCCAGCCGCCGCCGUAA
rnacentral:rRNA from 1 species